AUGCGGCUCGUUCGCAAACGCACCGGUUUCAUUUCCCGCAGCACGGAAUGGCGGAGCGUGGCUCUUCCCGGCGCUGCCGCUCGCUCUCACUCCGACCCCGCAGCUCGCGCCGCUCCGCCCCCGAGCGGUACGAACGUCCCGCUGCACAGCGCGGGGACACGCGCCGAGCGCCGCCCGGGGCGGGGUCUGAGGGGCGGGUCCGGGGGGGCGGGUCCGUGCGCUCCCGCUCUCCGCGGGUCCCGGCGCGGGGCCGGCGCCGCCCGAUCGUUGGCGGCACGAGGCUGGGGACGGCGCCGCGGCGGGCGCAGGAUGGGCGGCAGGGCCGGCUUCUUCGAGGUGGAAAUCCUUGACUGGAAGACAAAGGAACAAUUAUGCUUCCUAGAUAAGGUGGAACCAAAUGCUACAAUUAGGGAGAUAAGAUCAAUGUUCCAUAAAUUAUGUGAGUAUAACUUUUGCAAUAGUUUGUGUUACAUCAGAAUAUCCAGUAUGGAAACAGGAGAAAAUUAUAUAAGAUGA
rnacentral:lncRNA from 1 species